rnacentral:rRNA from 1 species
UACGUAGGGUGCAAGCGUUAAUCGGAAUUACUGGGCGUAAAGCGUGCGCAGGCGGUUAUGUACGACAGUUGUGAAAUCCCCGGGCUCAACCUGGGAACUGCAUCUGUGACUGCAUAGCUAGAGUACGGUAGAGGGGGAUGGAAUUCCGCGUGUAGCAGUGAAAUGCGUAGAUAUGCGGAGGAACACCGAUGGCGAAGGCAACCCCCUGGACCUGUACUGACGCUCAUGCACGAAAGCGUGGGGAGCAAACAGG